GACGAACGCUGGCGGCGUGCCUAACACAUGCAAGUCGAACGGCAGCGCCCUGCGUUUGUGGGGUGCCCGAGUGCGGAACGCGUGAGUGUCACGUGUGUAACCUGCCCUUGACUUUGGGAUAACUUCAGGAAACUGGGGCUAAUACCGGAUAGGAGCCCCCGCAGCAUGGUGGGGGUUGGAUAGUUUCGGCGGUCGGGGUUGGACUCGGGGCUUAUCAGCUUGUUGGUGGGGUAGUGGCUUACCAAAGCUUUGACGGGUAGCCGGCCUGGGAGGGGGGCCGGCCCCACUAGGACUGAGAUACGGCCCAGUCUCCAAUGGGAGGCAGGGGUGGGGAGUAUUGCACAAUGGGCUGGGGCCUGGUGCGGCGGCGCCGCGUGCGGGAUGACGGCCUGCGGGUUGUGAACCGCAUUCGUCUGUGACGAAGCGUGUGUGACGGUAACGGAUGAAUAAGCACCGGCUAACUACGUG
rnacentral:rRNA from 1 species